rnacentral:rRNA from 1 species
GAUGAACGCUGGCGGCGUGCCUAAUACAUGCAAGUCGAGCGAACGGACGAGAAGCUUGCUUCUCUGAUGUUAGCGGCGGACGGGUGAGUAACACGUGGAUAACCUACCUAUAAGACUGGGAUAACUUCGGGAAACCGGAGCUAAUACCGGAUGAUAUUUUGAACCGCAUGGUUCAAAAGUGAAAGACGGUCUUGCUGUCACUUAUAGAUGGAUCCGCGCUGCAUUAGCUAGUUGGUAAGGUAACGGCUUACCAAGGCAACGAUGCAUAGCCGACCUGAGAGGGUGAUCGGCCACACUGGAACUGAGACACGGUCCAGACUCCUACGGGAGGCGGCAGUAGGGAAUCUUCCGCAAUGGGCGAAAGCCUGACGGAGCAACGCCGCGUGAGUGAUGAAGGUCUUCGGAUCGUAAAACUCUGUUAUUAGGGAAGAACAUAUGUGUAAGUAACUGUGCACAUCUUGACGGUACCUAAUCAGAAAGCCACGGCUAACUACGUG